UACGAGUGCCUCAAGCGUUAUCCGGAAUCAUUGGGCGUAAAGGAUGUGUAGGUGGUUGUGUUAGUCUCUUGUUAAAUUCUUCGGCUUAACCGGGGGCAUGCAAGGGAAACGGCGCGACUCGAGGAUGCGAGGGGUCUGCGGAACUCAUAGUGUAGCGGUGAAAUGCGUUGAUAUUAUGGGGAACACCAAAAGCGAAGGCAGCAGACUGGAGCACACCUGACACUGAAAACCGAAAGCCAGGGGAGCAAACGGG
rnacentral:rRNA from 1 species